ensembl:Y_RNA Y_RNA Y RNA
GGCUGGUUCGAGUGCAGUGGUAUUUACAACUAAUUGAUGACAACCAGUUCCAGAUGUCUUUGUUCCUUCUUCACUCCCGCUGGUUCACUUAACUAGCCUUAA